rnacentral:rRNA from 1 species
AGAAACUAACAAGGAUUCCCUCAGUAACGGCGAGUGAAGCGGGAAAAGCCCAAAUUUGAAAUCUCUGUGUGAGAGCACAGCGAAUUGUAGUUUAGAAGUGUGAUCAGGCGAAAUCGGAAAGUCCAAGUUUCUUUGGGACAAGACAUCAAAGAGGGUGAGAAUCCCGUAGGACUUGAACGACUAGCCAACUACGAGGCACUUUCGAAGAGUCAGGUUGUUUGGGAAUGCAGCCUAAAAAGGGUGGUAAAUUUCAUCUAAGGCUAAAUAUUGGCACGAGACCGAUAGCGAACAAGUACCGUGAGGGAAAGAUGAAAAGUAACGUUGAAAAAGGGGUUAAAAAGUACGUGAAACCGUUAAAAGGGAAACGAUUGGAGCUAGCAGUGCUUGUGUCGUGAUCAGUGUGGUUGGAGACAACCCAUGUACUCAUGGCAAGUUUGAGCAGGUCAACAUGGGUUUGGAAACGCCAGAGAAGCUUGUUGGAGCGCGCCUCACGGCGGGGCCUUCAAGAUCAAAGUGGCGAGCCGGACCGAGGAGAAAUAAAAUCAAGCGGUGUGUAAAUUGGGCCUGAGGGGGCGCUUCUUGUGAAUUUUUUUUUUUCGAGCAGGACAAACGCAAGUUUGUGUUGUUUGAGGUUCAUGGGAACGAGUCCCCAAGAGCAACCGAAACACGGCCAAAGAUGUUGACGAAAUGGCUUCAACCGACCCGUCUAGAAACACGGACCAAGGAGUCUAACAUGUACGCGAGUCUUUGGGUGUGAAAACCCGUGGGCGUAAUGAAAGUAAUCGGUGAGAUCUUCGGCGCAUCAUCGACCGAUCUGGAUUGUAAAUUUUUGAAAGAUUUGAGUAAGAGCGUAAAUGUUGGGACCCGAAAGAUGGUGAACUAUGCCUGACUAGGGUGAAGUCAGAGGAAACUCUGAUGGAGGCUCGUAGCGGUUCUAACGUGCAAAUUGAUCGUCAAAGUUGGGUAUAGGGGCGAAAGACUAAUCGAACCAUCUAGUAGCUGGUUCCCACCGAAGUUUCCCUCAGGAUAGCUGAAACUUAAUUACGAAAGCAGUUUUAUCAGGUAAAGCGAAUGAUUAGAGGCCUUGGGGAAGCAAUUUCCUCAACCUAUUCUCAAACUUUAAAUAGGUAAGAAGUCCGACUUACUCAAGUGAAGCCGGGCACUGAAUGCGAGUUUCAAGUGGGCCAUUUUUGGUAAGCAGAACUGGCGAUGCGGGAUGAACCGAACGCGGAGUUAAGGUGCCGAAAUCAACGCUCAUCAGAUACCACAAAAGGUGUUGGUUGAUUAAGACAGCAGGACGGUGGCCAUGGAAGUCGGAAUCCGCUAAGGAGUGUGUAACAACUCACCUGCCGAAUCAACUAGCCCUGAAAAUGGAUGGCGCUUAAGCGUUGUACCUAUACUCUGCCGCUGGGGCAAAUGCGAGGCCCCAGCGAGUAGGUGGGCGUGGAGGUUGUGACGAAGCCUUGGGCGUGAGCCUGGGUCGAACGGCCUCUAGUGCAGAUCUUGGUGACAGUAGCAAAUAUUCAAAUGAGAACUUUGAAGACUGAAGUGGAGAAAGGUUCCGUGCGAACAGCAGUUGGGCACGGGUUAGUCGGUCCUAAGAGAUAGGGAA